rnacentral:rRNA from 1 species
GGGGAUAAAUUAAUAAAUAGGAAAAUUAAUAAAAAAAAUUUUAAUAUAAAAAUAUUUAAUGGGGGUUAAAGUAUUUUUAUAGAAAAAAUUUAAAAUUUUAUAGUAAAUUAGUAUUGUGAAAGAAAUUUGAAAUAAUAUAUGAAAUAGAAAAUUAUUUAAAAGUAAAUUUAAAUUAUUGUAUCUUGUGUAUCAGAGUUUAUUAAAUAAAUUUUAUUUUUUAAUUUUCUCGAAUUUAAAAGGGCUAAUUAAUUAAUAAAUUUAUUGUUUCAUAAAUAUUUUAAAUAAUUAAUUAGAAAUGAAAUGUUAUUCGUUUUUAAAUAUAUCUAGUUUUUUUAGAAAAAAAUUGAAUUUUAAAUUAAAUUUAAGAAAAAUUAAUUUAUUAAAAAAUUAAUUUUUUAAUUUAAUUAAAUAUUUUAAGGGAUAAGCUUUAAAUUAAAUUUUUAUAAUAAUUAUUUUUAAAUUUUUGAAAAUUUUAUAAUUUAUAUUGUUAAUAAAUUGUAAUUUAUUAUAAAUAAUUUCAAUAAAUUUUAAAAAUUUAAUAAAAAUUUAAAUUUUUAUAAAAAAAUAAAAUUAAAUUAUAUAUUUUUAGGUAUAAUGAUAAAAUUAGUAAAAAAAAAUAAAUUAAAAAUAUUAUUUUAUAAUAAUUAUUUUAAAGGAAUUCGACAAAUGAAUAUAUUUACCUGUUUAUCAAAAACAUGUCUUUUUGAGUAUAAUUUAAAGUCUAAUCUGCCCACUGAUUAAAAAAAAUUAAAGGGCUGCAGUAUAUUGACUGUACAAAGGUAGCAUAAUCAAUAGUCUCUUAAUUAGUGACUUGUAUGAAGGAUUGGAUAAAAUAUAAAUUGUCUCUAAAAUAUUAAAUUGAAUUUAAUUUUUUAAUUAAAAAGUUAAAAUAAAUUAAAAAGACGAGAAGACCCUAUAGAGUUUUAUAUUUUAUUAAUAUAGGAUUAUAAAUUAAUUGAAUAAAUUUUUAUUAAAAAAAUUAUUUUAUUGGGGUGAUAAAAAAAUUAAAAUAACUUUUUUUUAAAUUUUACAUUAAUAGUUGAUUUGUUGAUCCAUUAAUAAUGAUUAUAAGAAAAAAUUACCUUAGGGAUAACAGCGUAAUUUUUUUUUUUAGUUCAAAUAAAAAAAAGAGUUUGCGACCUCGAUGUUGGAUUAAGAUAAAAUUUAAAUGUAAAAGUUUAAAAUUUUUGAUCUGUUCGAUCAUUAAAAUCUUACAUGAUCUGAGUUCAAACCGGUGUGAGCCAGGUUGGUUUCUAUCUUUUAAAAAAUUAAUAAUAUUUUAGUACGAAAGGAUCAGAUAUUAUAAUUAAAUUAAAAUAAAUUGAUUGUUAUUAAAGUUAUAAUAAAAUUAUAACUAUUUUGGCAGAAAAAUGU